GGGGGUGAACGGUUUCGACUCCGUACGGUGAUCCGAGGGAAGCGUGCCGGUGCAGGCGGGAGACCACCGUGAAGCGUCGCCGUCAACCAAUAAGCGCCGACAAGAGUCAGCGCGAGUUCGCCCUCGCUGCCUGAGCGAGGAGCAACUCUGUCGGACCGGGUUAGCCUCCGCCCCGGAAUCCGGCAUCAGCUAGGAGGCUCACCACCAGGUCCGGUCGCGGGAGCUAGUGGGACACCGAACAGCGACUGGGCUUGUCACACCGGCUCGUCCGCGUGACCGGUGAAGCCGAGUAGAGACAGAGCGGACUGCGCACGGAGAAGUCUCGGUGAUGCGUCGGAGGACCCGGGUUCGAUUCCCGGCACCUCCACGU
rnacentral:tmRNA from 1 species